CGAAAGCCUGACGGAGCAACGCCGCGUGAGGGAGGAAGGCCUGUGGGUUGUAAACCUCUUUUCUCAGGGAAGAAGAACUGACGGUACCUGAGGAAUCAGCAUCGGCUAACUCCGUGCCAGCAGCCGCGGUAAUACGGAGGAUGCAAGCGUUAUCCGGAAUUAUUGGGCGUAAAGCGUCCGCAGGUGGUGAUUCAAGUCUGCUGUCAAAGAGUGGAGCUUAACUUCAUAAAGGCAGUGGAAACUGAAUAACUAGAGUGCGGUAGGGGUAGAGGGAAUUCCAGGUGUAGCGGUGAAAUGCGUAGAUAUCUGGAAGAACACCAGUGGCGAAAGCGCUCUACUGGGCCUGCACUGACACUGAGGGACGAAAGCUAGGGGAGCG
rnacentral:rRNA from 1 species